rnacentral:rRNA from 1 species
UACAGAGGUCUCAAGCGUUGUUCGGAUUCAUUGGGCGUAAAGGGUGUGUAGGUGGCGCGCUAAGUCGGGUGUGAAAUUUCGGAGCUUAACUCCGAAACUGCAUUCGAUACUGGCGUGCUUGAGGACUGGAGAGGAGACUGGAAUUCAUGGUGUAGCAGUGAAAUGCGUAGAGAUCAUGAGGAAGACCAGUGGCGAAGGCGGGUCUCGUGGACAGUUCCUGACGCUGAGGCACGAAGGUCAGGGGAGCAAACGGG